UACGUAGGAUGCUAGCGUUGUCCGGAUUUACUGGGCGUAAAGCGCGCGCAGGCGGCACUGUAAGUAAGGUGUGAAAUCUCCCUACUCAACGGGGAGGGUGCACUUUAGACUGCAGAGCUAGAGGACGGUAGAGGGGGGUGGAAUUGCUGGUGUAGCGGUGAAAUGCGUAGAGAUCAGCAGGAACACCCGUGGCGAAGGCGGCCCCCUGGGCCGAACCUGACGCUGAGGCGCGAAGGCUAGGGGAGCGAACGGG
rnacentral:rRNA from 1 species